GGGGAAGAAGAUGGAAGGAGCAUGCGCAUGAAGCAUUCUCCCCCCCAGCAUGCAGAGAGCAGUGCCCCUUUAUCGACCUCUAGUGCACCCGAGCAUGUGCAGAGUGCCCCCCCAGCGCCUCUCUUGCGCCGAGCCCCUCCUGCUCUCUGCACGGGGGCAAUGGCCCGUUGCACGGAGAGGGGCUUGCCUUGCACCCGAGGAAGCCCGGGGCUCAGCCUGGCGCAUCUGCGUUGCCGCCAAGCGAAGCCCGGCUAUCCCCGACUGCAGGCUGGAGCGACUUCCCACAUGCGGGCACGACACGCUCGGAAGGGGGCCGGGCACGUGGGAAGGGACACGAGACCGCGCGCCCGCCGCUUUCCGCCGGAGCAGAACCAGCGCCAGGAAAGGGGCUCGCGGGCCUGGCCGGCUGCUGCGGGGACUUCGUCCUCGGCCGGCCGGCCAGGAAGAGGCGCUGCUGCUGCCGCCGCCGCCUUCGUAGGCUCCUUCCGCGCGGGGAUCGGGGGGUGCCUCCCUCCGGGGGUCGCUCACCUUCCGCCGCGGAGCCAAAGCGCAGAAGCAGCGGCUGGAGGAGCAGCGGCUGGAGGAGCAGCAGCGUCCGGGACGGCGCCAUGGAGGGGGCAGCUGGGACGGCGUCCAGGCAGGCUGUACGUCGGGCUCGGCUCGACUCCUCGCGGCGUAAACAAGCCGGGCCUUUAAAGAGCCACAGCUCCGCCCUCCCUUCUCCUCCGGGGCCGAGGCGCUCGCUGGGUCCUAAGCCGGGAAGGCGCGCCGCGCGUGGGGAGCCUCCCUCCUCAGCGGCAGUCUACCGGGCGGCGGCGCGAGGGCGCGCGGACCGUGCAGACCUGAGUGGCUUUGGGCGUCGCGCCGGGCGCUUCUCAGGAGGGCGCGAAGCAACUUUCCUCCAAAGCAAACCGCAGCGGCUGGAGCUCCUCCGGCGGGACGGACAGCGGCCUUCACUGAGGAAGCUGCCUCAGACCGAGCCAGGCCCUUGGCCUAUCUAGUUCAAUACUGCCCACACGGACCGGCAGCAACGGCUCUCCAGGGUUUCGGACAGGGAGUCCUCCCGAGUCCUUCUUGGAGAUGCUGCCCGAAACUGAACCGGCAUCUCCUGCAUGCAAGGCACGGGCUGGACUACUGCGCACGUGGUUGGCCACUGUGAGAACAGGGCGCCGGACUAGUUGGGCUACUGGCCUUUUCUAGCAGGCUCUUCCUAUGCCCGGUGGAGGGGGUGGGCCCUUUGGCCCCUCCCCACCUCUAAUUAGCAUCUUCUUUGAAGGUCUCCUGCGCAACCGCAUUGAAGUUAGAGGCUGGUGCGCUUUGACUCCUGACGGCCCUAUUCAUCUCUUAGGCCAAUGUGCAGGGGCAGUACAUACAUCUUCAAAAUAAAUAAGGGGUUUGAAGCUGGUUUUAAAGGCUGCCUUAAAGCUAGCUGGGCUCGGUGUGAACUUUAGUACAGAUGUCAACGCUAACGGUGAUUCGUGCUGUCACGCAGCGGAGGACGGAGUGUAAGGAGGAAGAGCCAGCCCAGGGGAUGCUUCUGACCGUCUGAACAGUGGCUAAGAGCGCAGGAAAUGUCACCGGUGGGGGAGAACGCAGCCUUUGCGCUCAGGCCCUCCGUGCUUAUGGGCGUCCCUCUGGGGCACUUGGUUGCCCACUGCGAAGACAGGACGCUGGACUGGGCGGGCUCCCUUUGGCCUGGUCCAGCUGCUGCCGUGGGGCUCUUUGAGGUCCUUGUAUCUGUACCCAGCCAACCUCUCUUGCACAAACCCCACUGAGCUUAAUGCCGAGGUGGUGUACAAAAGACAGGAAGGAAACGGGCACCUCAACCCUUAUUUUAUAAGAUAAAAUAAAAACCAGACAAAAAGAAAAGAGUGUAAAGUAACCAUUCUAACUUCUUUAAUGCAGUCCAAUCCAAUUAUUAUUUUCUUUUUUUAAAAAAUCAGUCUGAACUCUAUUAUUUAU